CCUAUGCUAAUUGUGGCCGCGCCGCACGAAACGUACGAAGAGAGUGUAGUGCGACGAAUACCUAUUUUAAAUCCUUAUGGGUCGGAAAGGCUCCGUGUACAGAUGCAUUAGAAAGCGAAGAUAUACAACUGCUUUAAGAAAAGCAAAUGAAGCAAGGAAAAAUCAGAAAACCGCCAAUUCAUGUUCUGUUUCGGUAGAUACGGAAAACG